rnacentral:rRNA from 1 species
CCUACGGGUGGCAGCAGUAGGGAAUCUUUCACAAUGGGCGAAAGCCUGAUGGAGCAACGCCGCGUGCAGGAUGAAGGCCUUCGGGUUGUAAACUGCUUUUAUAAGCGAGAAAUAUGAUGGUAACUUAUGAAUAAGGAUCGGCUAACUACGUGCCAGCAGCCGCGGUAAUACGUAGGAUCCGAGCAUUAUCCGGAGUGACUGUGUGUAAAGAGUUGCGUAGGUGGCAUAAUAAGUAGCUAGUGAAAUCUGGUGGCUCAACCAUUCGGACUAUUAGCUAAACUGUUAAGCUCGAGACCGUUAGGGGUAACUGGAAUGUCUGGUGUAGGAGUGAAAUGCGUAGAUAUUAGAAGGAACACCAAUAGCGUAGGCAGGUUACUGGGACGGUUCUGACACUAAGGCACGAAAGCGUAGGGAGCAAACGGGAUUAGAUACCCGGGUAGUC